UAAGGACAAGGUGAAUAUCUCUAACUAGAUGGUUAUUAAACUAUCGAUAGGCUGAUUCGUAAGAGAAUGGAUAGGGUACAAUCGAACGCGACUAACAUCGGUCAUACUCGAUUUGAUAUUAUUUUGUUUAAGACUCGUCAUUCACGAAUAUUAGCUUGCAACAUUUUGAUACUGCAAAAUAUUUAAGCACAUUAAAGUUGGCAAAUAUUUGAGCUGUUUGCAUUCACAAAUUGUAAAUUCAAUAAUUGGUUCCAGCAUAUAGAUAUAGACAGAGCUAUCUUGGAUGGCGUCCAUGAUACAGCGAAGAUAAGAGCUGCUCAUAUUGUACUUUCUUCAAACAUUCCAACAAUUACUACGGGGCUGUUAUAUCACCAGCAAUAUUUACUCAGUUGCAACUAUAUAAGUAUGAUCCAUAUUGUAAUAGAUUUCUGUUAAUAUUAGUAUCAGAAUAUCCAUCAAUAGCUUCAAAACUACCUAACUGGGCCUAUAUGUAUCAAGAAAUCAACAUUCAUUAACUGGAGAUUUGCAAUUAUAUCAACUGAUGGUCGACUACUUAUUGCAUCAUACAUAUACAUAUAUAGCAGACGGAAUCAAAUCAUUAAAAAUGUAUUACUGUCAAAAUACAACUACCUACGAUAUUCAAUAACAAUAAAAAAUUGAGAUCCGCCAAAACAAAACCAAAUCAGAUGCAUCGUUUGCGUGAAAAGCUUCAAUGUUCAAGUGAAAAUGCUACAGAAAGCUCGCCGGCAUGGUCGUUCUGCGGGCGGUGCUGCGGAGAGAGACUACAGCUA